ACAGCAAGCGUAAAUUUUGCUGUAAGCCUGCAGAUGCAGGUGAAUCAACUGAUAGAAGGAAGAAAUCGAUG
rnacentral:sRNA from 1 species